GCACACUUCAAUAUAAUGAACAAAAUAGUAUCUUUAUCUUCCCAAAUGCUCUAUUCUUAUCAUGGUAUCAUGGCUUCUCCAUUAGCCUAGAGAGAUCACUUUCUUCUUUCUCGAUCUCGAGUGGUCGAGGGGGUUUUAACGCAAACUCCACGCUUCCACUCGGCGGCCUCGACACCAGCUUCAACUCCUUUCCUUCAUUGCGAUCUUACUCACACCCAAACCGCUAGUGAAAACCUAAUCCUCGAUGACGCCUCUGCCCUCUCGGCAUACACGCCUUCGCUUCUCCCAACACCUCCGCUAGUCGUUCCCACUUCGUUGGCUAUCUCGACGACGUGUCCUCGACCGCUGAGACAACACCCGCAGUGCUCUUGAUCGCCGCUAGCCCACAAUCGCGACUUUGGCUGCCUUUACUCCACAACUAGACAUCACCGCGUCAUCGAUCUAGACACGAUCAUCAACACGCAACUCUCCUUGCCAGUGACUGCCACAAACACUAACGCCAUCAUACCAUCCGAUCAUUGCCUUGCCUUCGAUGAGCCCACCUCGACAUCGCCUACAACCCCAAUCACUUCCAACUCUUUGUAACCUGCAGCAAAGCCCCCAUAUUCCACUGCAACACCCACAACUUCAGAGCCCCCAUAGGUCCCCACAAGCACCAAACCCUCACCUUACCCCAACACACACUCACUAAGUUCUCCUUCGCCAACAAUUGAGAAAUUAAUUAAACCCAACACAUUCCAGCCACAAGCUUCACUUAAUUCCCCUCCUGCAAUCAUUGUCAUUUCUCCUUGCAUGAUGUCACGUGCACAGGGUGCCUGACAGAAUGUCUCAGGGAAUUCCGCCUCUUGGAUGUGCUCCGUCUCUCGUCCACCGCCACCGUGCGGAUCCUCUCCACACUCGGCAUCACGACUAUCUUGGUCUUUAGCUCAUUCGAUACAGUAGCAACCUAUCACAAUGCAACACAGACUAUUUGAGGUAGUGCCUGAACACAAUGCUUGGAUCUUGCACGCCUAAUCCUCGUAGCAACAACCACCAUUUGUUCGGCCUAAUGUCCAAGCUGCAACGCCCAACUGUAACGCCAGCGGCAUUCUCUCUAUUUGCAGUGCCCAUGGCAAUGACUCCGUCGGACUAUCUCCAUCUGCAGCCUCCACGGCGGACACCGCCGGACCACAUUACACCAUGAGCUCAUCGCCUCAAUCCAAGCCCUCACUGAACAGCACCACAAUCUUGCUGUCUACAAUCCAAAGCAACCGAUGUGCUCCAAUUCAAUCACCUCUCCUCGAGCCACGCCAACAACCAUCUACGUAAAUUUAGAUUAUCUUAUCCAAACUCUCAGUUCUCUACCCACGGGAAUAAGUUUGCGGCAGGGAGGCAUAUCAGGAUUUAUCAUGGGGUUUAUAGGGAGAGGGAGGUGGCGGUUAAGUUGAUCAGCUAGCCGGAGGAGGACGCGACUCUGGCUGCUUUGCUAGAGCAGCAGUUCAAUUCGGAGGUUGCCUUGUUGCUUCAGUUACGACAUCCGAGGAUCACAUGGCAUGGGAACAAUUUGAUACACCCGGUGAAAAAGCUCCAAACUCAUUAUACAGAGAAACAUGACUUGUAAGCAUUGCCGACAUACAAACAUGAGAAAAUAAGUAAAAUUUAUUAAUUUUUGUAAAUAAAUUCUUUAAAUUUGGAAAGUUUGAUUUAGCCAAUAUUUCUAUUCAAUUUAGUUACAACUUUUGAUGACUGUUGAAUUGAAUGAGAUUCUGAAUCAAACACCAAUGUACGCUUUCUGUUCACCUGGAUUGUCAGUGUGUAUUCAGUCCAAAAGCUUUUAUCUACAAAUUUAUUUGUUCUAUUUCACUCAGUAUUUCUGAAUAAUGUUUUUUCCCCCACUGAAAUGAUGGUUU